AUACGUAGGUGACAAGCGUUAUCCGGAUUUAUUGGGUUUAAAGGGUGCGCAGGCGGCCAUUUAAGUCAGCGGUUAAAUCGUGGGGCUCAACCCCAUUCUGCCGUUGAUACUGGGUGGCUUGAUUGCGGUCGAGGUUGGCGGAAUUCGUUGUGUAGCGGUGAAAUGCAUAGAUAUGACGAAGAACACCGAUUGCGUAGGCAGCUGACCAGACCGCAAAUGACGCUCAUGCACGAAAGUGCGGGGAUCGAACAGGAUUAGAUACCCUGGUAGUCCGCACAGUAAACGAUGAAUACUUGUUUUCGGCGAUAUAAUGUCGGAGGCAAGGCGAAAGCGAUAAGUAUUCCACCUGGGGAGUACGCCGGCAACGGUGAAACUCAAAGGAAUUGACGGGG
rnacentral:rRNA from 1 species